ACGUAGGGGGCAAGCGUUAUCCGGAAUUACUGGGUGUAAAGGGAGCGUAGGCGGCAUGGUAAGCCAGAUGUGAAAGCCUUGGGCUUAACCCGAGGAUUGCAUUUGGAACUAUCAAGCUAGAGUACAGGAGAGGAAAGCGGAAUUCCUAGUGUAGCGGUGAAAUGCGUAGAUAUUAGGAAGAACACCAGUGGCGAAGGCGGCUUUCUGGACUGAAACUGACGCUGAGGCUCGAAAGCGUGGGGAGCAAACAG
rnacentral:rRNA from 1 species